GACAGAGGUGCCGAGCGUUAGGCGGAAUCACUGGGCUUAAAGCGUGUGUAGGCGGACCUGUAAGUACCUUGUGAAAUCCCACGGCUCAACCGUGGAACUGCUGGGUAUACUGCGGGUCUUGAGCCACCUAGGGGCGAGCGGAACAAGUGGGUGGAGCGGUGAAAUGCGUAGAUAUCACUUGGAACGCCAAUGGUGAAAACAGCUCGCUGGGGGUGUGCUGACGCUGAGACACGAAAGCCAGGGGAGCAAACGGG
rnacentral:rRNA from 1 species